GAAGCUGCUCCGCUUCCGCCACCAGAUCCAAUGAGGAACUACACACCAGCUUGUGUUCCAGGAGGCCUCCGAACCGACGUCAAGCCGUUGCAGAUUUUACAACCUGGAGGACCAAGUUUUGAAGUUAAUGGAUACGAAGUAACCUGGCAAAAGGUAAAGGUUUCUCGAGUGCUCUUGAGACUAACCUGUUCGUUUUUACCUCAGUGGUCCUUUCGCCUGGGAUUUACUCCACGAGAAGGUCUAGUAAUCCACACUGUAGCGUAUAGCGACGGUUCUCGAGGUCCGAGGUCUGUGGCUCACAGGUUGAGCUUCGUAGAGAUGAUAGUCCCUUACGGAGAUCCUGCAGAACCACAUUACAGAAAAAAUGCUUUCGAUGUAGGAGAAGACGGACUUGGGAGGAAUGCUCACUCGCUGAAAAAGGUAGGAUGACUAGCAGACAUGUAAGCUCACGACCUGUUUGCUUUGGCAGGGAUGCGACUGCUUAGGAUACAUUCACUACUUCGAUGCGUAUCUCACGGACCAAAAGGGAGACGUCGAAACACUCGAAAAUGCAAUAUGCUUACACGAAGAAGACAAUGGCAUACUGUGGAAGCACAAGGAUUGGAGGACAGGUCUUUCUGAAGUCCGAAGAUCUAGACGGCUCACCGUUUCUUUCAUAUGCACUGUCGCAAACUACGACUAUGGCUUCUACUGGCACUUCUACCAGGUAGAUCAACAAGCAUCCUAACAAUCCAGACUAUCACUAAAGCUCCCUACUUAGGAUGGGAAAAUAGAGGCUGAAGUGAAACUUACCGGCAUUCUGAGCCUCGGAGCGAUUCAGCCCGGCGAGCAAAGGAAAAACGGAACGGUCAUAAGCACUGGAUUAUACGCUCCGAUACACCAGCACUUUUUUGUAGCACGCAUGAACAUGGCAGUCGACAGCAAACCUGGAGAAGCAGAAAAUCAGGUACUUGAAGCUCAAUAUGAAACUAUCACCUUUCCUUGCCUCGGCUCAUUGUUUCUAAGUCCUUGUUUCUCAGGUUGUAGAGGUUAACGUUGUGCCAGAGCCACCGGGUCCAAACAAUCCUCAUUGCAACGCAUUCUACGCCAAGGAGACGCUGCUAAAAUCCGAAAUGCAAGCUCAGAGAGACUGCAAUCCUUUAUCUGCACGACACUGGAUAGUAAGUAGACUCAACAACGAAGAAAAAACUUCAUGCUCGACUUCUAUGACAAUGCAGGUAAGAAACACCAAAGUUGUGAAUCGAGCUGGCGGAAACACAGGCUACAAGCUUGUUCCCGGAGCAAACUGCCUGGGAUUCAUCGGCAAGGACGCGAUGAUCCUGCGAAGAGCCGAGUUUCUCAAGCACAACCUCUGGGUAACCAGCUAUAGCAAAGACGAGCUCUACCCAGCCGGCGAGUUCCCCAAGCAAAACCCCCGCAUUGGAGAAGGCCUGCCGACCUGGGUGAAAAAGGACCGCGAUCUCGAGAAUGCCGACAUCGUCCUGUGGUAAUACUCUAGGAUCGAUCUCUCCUUCCUCUCUUCUCGCAAAAUCUCCUAGUUCUCGAUCGAUGCAACGCAGGUACGUAUUUGGAGUGACACACAUACCUAGGCUCGAGGAUUGGCCCGUGAUGCCAGUGGAGCGCAUCGGAUUCACACUCACGGUAGGAAUCCUCGAUCGCUUGCUAUGGCGCCGCUAACGAGUGAUCGAUGGAUCGCGCAGCCGCAUGGAUUCUUCGACUGCUGCCCGGCGAUCGACGUUCCCCCAAAUCAGAAUGGCGCUUAAACCCUAAAGUUCAAAACAAAUGCCCUU
rnacentral:lncRNA from 1 species